UACGGGGGGGGCAAGCGUUGUUCGGAAUUACUGGGCGUAAAGGGCUCGUAGGCGGCCCACUAAGUCGGAUGUGAAAUCCCCAGGCUUAACCUGGGAACUGCAUCCGAUACUGGAUGGCUUGAAUCCGGGAGAGGGAUGCAGAAUUCCAGGUGUAGCGGUGAAAUGCGUAGAUAUCUGGAGGAAUACCGGUGGCGAAGGCGGCAUCCUGGACCGGCAUUGACGCUGAGGAGCGAAAGCUAGGGGAGCAAACGGG
rnacentral:rRNA from 1 species